rnacentral:lncRNA from 1 species
CAUUAUACAUGAACACACAUCUGUAUUAUGAAGUGAGGUGUGUGUGUGAGAGAGAAAGGGAAAAAAGAGAGAUUUCCCACAUUAUGACAAGUUGUGUAACUCCCCUUUUCUAAUACCUAAUAAAUACAGCACUACCGUGGGGUUUCUAAGACUUAAGUAAUAUGUUUGCAGCCUGGGUAGUAAUUCAGUUUGUUAUCCUGGCAAUUUGAGAUAACUGCACCUGCCAACAGAACCCUUGAUGUCACUCAUCCUGUCACUGUAUUACUAUUGUCAGCACCAUGACAUCUUGGCAUUUCUUUUCCCAGAUUGCGCUUCUUUCAACUUAUUAUUCUUUGCAAAACACUGCAUUAGUGUUAUCCACUCAUGAAAACUACAACUUUAAAAAAAAAUUUUUAUUAAAGUAUAGUUUAUUUACAAUGUUCUGUCAAUUUCCACUAUACAGCAAAGGGACCAAGUCUUACAAAUAUACAGAUACGCACACAUACGUGUAUGUAUAUACACACACACACACACACACACACACACACACACACGUAUAUACAUAUAUAUGUGUGUGUAUUCUUUUUCCCACAUUAUCACCUGUCAUAUUCUUUCCCAAGUGAUUGGAUAUCAUUCCGUAUGCAGAAUCUCAUUGCUUACCCAUUCUAAAUGUAAUAGUUUUCACCUAUUAACCCCAAACUUCCAGUCGAUCCCACUCCCUUGACCUCUGCCUUGGCAACCACAAGUCUGUUUUCCAUGUCUGUGAAUCUGUUUAUAUUCUGUAGAUAGAUUUAUCUGUGCAUAUUUUAGAUUCCACAUAUAAGUGAUAGUAUUUGGUAUUUGUCUUUCUCUUUCUGACUUACUUCACUUAGCCUGAGACUCUCUAGUUAGUAUAUGUUGCUGCAAAUGGCAUGAUUUUGUUCUUUUUUAUAGCUGAGUGGUACUCCAUUGUAUAUAUCUACUACAUCUUCUUAAUCCAUUUGCUGUCAAUGGACAUUUAGGUUGUUUCCAUGUCUUGGCUAUUGUGACUAGUGCUUCAAAGAACAUAGGGGUGCAUAUAUCUUUUUGAAUGAAGUUUUUGUCCAGAUAUAUGCCCAGGAAUAGGAUUUUUGGUUCAUAUUUAGUUUUUAGAGGAAUCUCCAUACUGUUUUCCAUAGUGCUUGUACCAAUUUACAUCCCACCAACAGUGUAGGAGGGUUCCCUUUCCUCCACACCCUCUCAGCAUUUGUUUUUUGUAGACUUAUUAAUGAUAACCAUUCUGACCAGUGUGAGGUGAUACCUCAAUGCAGUUUUGAUUUGCAUUUAUCCAAUAAUUAGUAAUGCUGAGCAUUUUUUCACAUGCCUGUUGGCCAUCUGUAUGUCUUCUUUGCAGAAAUGUCUAUUUAGGGUUUCUGCCCAUUUUUUGAUUGGGUUGUUGGGAAAACUACAACUUUUCAUUUUUGAUGUAAUAAUGAUGGAAGAAAAGACAAUGUAUAGUCUUCAGGUUGGAAAUACUUCUAAAUUCUGAUAGGAAAAUAAAAUGAGCCUAGUAAUGAUUGAAAAAAAUGAGGCUUAGUCACAGAAUAAAUGAUUUUCACAGUUUUUCAUCUUUUUUUUAACAACUUCUUUGACCAAAAAUAAUCUAACGUGAUUUUUUUUAUGUUUUUAUUUCCAUUUAUUUGCAAAAUAGAAUUCUGUCUUGUUCUCUGAUUACCCUAUAAGUUCAUGUUUCUUCAGUAUGGAAAGUACCAAAAGUACCUCUAGAAAUUAUGUUCCUCUGCCAGCACACCAAAAAGUGUCAACAAAAGUUUCCUCUCAUCCUGCCUAUCACCAAUCUUCCAUUACAGUGUAUCUGAAGCUAAGCUAAGUAGACAAACAUUCUCCCACUGUUUCUUACUUUGAAAAUCCAGAUUAUAUAAUAUCUAUAUAUGAUGUCUUUAACUUUUAUAUUCACAACUUUUAUCUCCUUAAGGAUUCCUAUUAUAGAGGCAGAGAGUUUUAAAGCAGGAGCCUUGACAUGAUAAACUCGGGUUCAAAUUUUACCUCUACCAGUUACCAGCUUUCGAACCUCAGCCAAAUGCUUCACUUUUCUGAGCCUCAGUUUUCUCUUCUGCAGAAUAUGGAACUUUGGGCACAGAGUAGCUGGGAAAUUUAAAUGAGAAAAUAUAUACGAAGCAAUAACCAGCACCUGUCACAUAGGAAGUGAUCAGUAGAGGUUAGCUUCACAGGCCCUCUAAUCAUGACUAUAGUUAUAAUUUCUGGUUAUGAACUGGAUGGAGAAAAGAAAAAUAUAUAUAUUUGUAUGUAACAAUAGGCUCGUAUCCAAACUUGGGACGAAAGCACAGGCAAUAUUCUAAUUUACCUUUUCUAAUUUGAAUAUUAAAAAUGAUAUAGCCUCAUAACUGGAAAAUGGGAAACUUCCCAUGUGGUUGUUUCUUUUUUAAAAAAUUUUCAAGGAGAGUUGCAACUGUUUGUUUCAAUGGACUGAAGUAAGAGGCCAUUUGACUAAGCUUCUGAGUCAUGCACCACUUUUUAAAGUAUGCUGCUGGAAGAAACCUAGGUGCAAAUUCUGUUCAAUAUAUUCUGUUGUGCUGUCUGUCUCCUGCUGUGAAUGAGUCAUAAGGCGUGGGCACAAGAAAGUAUCAAAUAAUUAUGUCUUCAAGAUCUAACUUACUCAUCUCCAGCAGACGUGUGAUCUGAAAGUAUGAUUUCCAUGCCCCCGAGGGUGCAGCAGUUGAGUACUUCUUCUGGCUUCAUAGGUAGGAAGUUUACACAUCACACGGUACUGGGUCCGCAUCCUUGGGGUUACAGCGAAUUGAACCGUAACACUCUCAUGUAAAUAAGAUGAUGCUGUGCAGUGCAUUCUUUAGUUUUUCAUUUUAGGACAGGUAGUUACACAGACUUUAAAAUAUGCUACCUCAUACUCAAAACAGGAAACUUUUUGGUUUACCCUGAAUAAGAAUAAAAAUAUUCCAGAACUUCCAAUAAUAUAUUUGCCAUACAUCAUUCGUGUAAACAUUAAAAUAUUUAAAUUUUAGUUCCCCAAAGGCUUUUCAAUUAAUAGCUAAGAUUGUGAGUCAAAUUUAGUUAUGGCCAAUAAAAUUAGUCCUCAAAGCACAUAUUUAUAUAUUUACACGUGGAAUCUAAAAAAAGGACUCAAUGAACUUCUUUGCAGAACAGAUACUGACUCACAGACUUUGAAAAACUUAUGGUCUCCAAAUCAGACAGGUUGGGGUGUGGGGUAAUGGGCUACGGGUUUGGGAUGGAAAUGUUAUAAUUGGGUUGUGAUGAUCAUUGUACAAUUAUAAAUGUAAUAAAAUUCAUAAUAAAUAAAUAAAUGGGAAAAAAAUGUAUUGGAGUACGGUUGACUUACAAUGUUGUGCUAGUUUCAGGUGUACAGGCAAAAGAAUCAGUCAACAUAUACAUGUGUCCAUUCUUUUUCCCAGAUAGGCUAUUACAAACUAUUGAGUAGAUUUCCCUGUGCUCUCCAGCACGUUCUUGUUAACUAUCUAUUUUCUACAGUAGUGUGUAUAUGUUAUUUCCAUCCUCUUAAUACCUCCCUCUCCCCAUGGUUUCCUCUGUGGUAACAGUAACUUUGAUUUUGAAAUCUGUAAGUUUGUUCCUAUUUUAUAAACCAGUUCUUUUGUGUCAUAUUUAUUAGAUUCCACAUAUAAGAAUGUCUAAAAAAAUCCCUCAUAACAGUGAUGUAUUCAUAUAGAGGCUGAAAUAUAUAAUUGUCUCCUAUUUUAUAAAACCACUGUUUUUUUAAAGGGCUUUUAUAAAUAUGCUUUUGAAAUCUCACUACUUUCUUUUUCCCCAGUAAUCUCACAAGAACAUAGCAAUGUGCCUAUAAAUCUCCAGUGGCCUACAUUUAGAAAAAAAUUUAAGUGUCUCUCAUUUAUUUUAUGUAAGAUUCAUUCAUUUCUAUUUAAAAGCUCUUUCACUUGUGCUCCUGCAUGAAAAUAGUGCCUCAAGUGAACAGAAAACAACUAUCAUUACAAAAACUCAACAACAAAGAUUCCUAUAUCAUUUUCCUUUAUUUUACUUAACUAUCUUCUAUUUUGUCACUUAUUUAAAUAGAGCUAAAGAUUUUUUAAAUAAAAAAUCUUGCGUGGAUUUCAAAGUUAGAGAAAUGUCUCCAUAGACUAGAAUAUAGUAGCUCUACUACAGUAUCAUAUCUCUAUUCCCCAUAGCAAAAGUCCAGUCUCUGAACCAUAGGUCUAGAAACUCCACAUGUAUAUUCAUACACACUUAGGCUAAUGUUCAAAACUAAAGGAAUCAAUUUAUUUUCUAGAAGCUUUCACUAUAGCUGAAUUUUCACAGCACACUGGGCAGAAAACUAGAGAAUACCUGGUGUUUCAAAUUACUAUCCAAACACAAGGAUAGUGAUAACCAUAUACUUAAUAUUUACCAUUAGCCAGAGAAGGUAGAUCACACACAUAACUAAAACAAAUGCACUGACUGUGCUCAAAGUUAACAAGGAAAUAAGUGCCCCGUGGUGUGGGAGUUCACAGAAGUGAGGCAGCCCUUCUCUAUGGAAAGAACAGGGAAGUUUUCUUAGGAAGUACCAUAGUCUGUUUUACAUGUCAUCUUGGCUGCCCAUGAGGUAUCCAGAUAUUUAGUUAAACUUAUUCAGGGUGUACCUGUGAGUGUGUUUCUGAAUGAGAUUAAUCUUUGAAAACAGGUAGACUGAGUAAAGCAGAUUGUCCUCCCCAAUGUGGAUGGGUCUCAUCCAAUCUGUUGAUUGAAGAAGAGGUGGGAUAAAGGAGAAUUCUUUCUAUUCCCUUUCUCUCUUCAAACUGGAACAUCAACCUUCCCCUGACUUUCCACCUUUCAACUCACACUCAAACUGGAACUAUAUUGCCAGCAAUCCUGGGUCUCCAACUUGCCAGUUUUCCCAGAUUAAUACAUAAAGUCAGCAUAUAGGCUUGAUUUAACUAGGUAGAAGUCAAUCAGAUUCUACUAAGGAUAGAAUUGUCAGGUACCAUGGGAGCAAAAACAUUCCAGCAAAAAAAAUAAUAGUGUUGAUAUUUAAAAAAUAAAAGUAGGGAGUUCCUGUUGGAGGCUUGCCAGAUAUGCAUGUAUACGGGCCAUAGUGAAUCAAAGAAACUAGAUUGCACUUGAAGAAUGAUGCUAAUCUAGGCUUGCAAAAUAUAUAAGACUUUCCCAGACCCCUGGGGGAAAGGGCGUGAGACAGGAAAUGUACAUCAUUUGAGUGGCUGCUUGAAAGCAAGUUUCCAAAUCCUCCAGAUGUCAUCGAUGGAAAGCCAUUGACAUUCUUGUUCUCAUGACCAGAACCUUAAGGGAGUUGGAGAAAAGGGAGCAAUAGCCUUAAGCAUAAACAAUAUAAUCUUUCUCUGGAGGGUUAAUUAUUUAUAACAUCUAUGAAUACAAAGGGUCUGUGCCUG